GUUCCUGUAGUUGAAUAACAACGAUGGUUUUUCAAGCCGUUAGUUCUGGUUAGAGUCCAGGUAGGAAUU
rnacentral:tRNA from 1 species